rnacentral:rRNA from 1 species
ACUUAAGCAUAUCAAUAAGCGGAGGAAAAGAAACCAACAGGGAUUACCUUAGUAACGGCGAGUGAAGCGGUAACAGCUCAAAUUUGAAAUCUGGCUCUUUCAGGGUCCGAAUUGUAAUUUGUAGAAGAUGCUUUGGGUGUCGCUCCGGUCUAAGUUCCUUGGAACAGGACGUCAUAGAGGGUGAGAAUCCCGUAUGUGACUGGAUGCGUUCGCCCGUGUAAAGCUCUUUCGACGAGUCGAGUUGUUUGGGAAUGCAGCUCAAAAUGGGUGGUAAAUUUCAUCUAAAGCUAAAUAUUGGCCAGAGACCGAUAGCGCACAAGUAGAGUGAUCGAAAGAUGAAAAGCACUUUGGAAAGAGAGUUAAACAGUACGUGAAAUUGUUGAAAGGGAAGCGCUUGCAACCAGACUCGCCAUCCGUCGAUCAUCCGGGGUUCUCCCCGGUGCACUCGACGGGUUUCGGGCCAGCAUCGGUUUCGGUGGUGGGAUAAAGGCCUUGGGAAUGUAGCUUCUUUCGGGGAGUGUUAUAGCCCUCGGUGCAAUGCCGCCUACCGGGACCGAGGACCGCGCUUCGGCUAGGAUGCUGGCGUAAUGGUUGUAAGCGACCCGUCUUGAAACACGGACCAAGGAGUCUAACAUCUAUGCGAGUAUUUGGGUGUCAAACCCAUAUGCGGAAUGAAAGUGAACGGAGGUAAGAACCCUGAAGGGUGCAUUAUCGACCGAUCCUGAUGUCUUCGGAUGGAUUUGAGUAAGAGCAUAGCUGUUGGGACCCGAAAGAUGGUGAACUAUGCCUAAAUAGGGUGAAGCCAGAGGAAACUCUGGUGGAGGCUCGCAGCGGUUCUGACGUGCAAAUCGAUCGUCAAAUUUGGGUAUAGGGGGCGAAAGACUAAUCGAACCAUCUAGUAGCUGGUUCCU